rnacentral:rRNA from 1 species
GACGAACGCUGGCGGCGUGCUUAACACAUGCAAGUCGAACGGAAAGGCCCUGCUUUUGUGGGGUGCUCGAGUGGCGAACGGGUGAGUAACACGUGAGUAACCUGCCCUUGUCUUUCGGAUAACUUCAGGAAACUGGGGCUAAUACCGGAUAGGAUCUCCUGCUGCACGGUGGGGGUUGGAAAGUUUCGGCGGUUGGGGCUGGACUCGCGGCUUAUCAGCUUGUUGGUGGGGUAGUGGCUUACCAAGGCUUUGACGGGUAGCCGGCCUGAGAGGGUUAACGGCGACAUGAGGACUGAGAUACGGCCCAGACUCCUACGGGAGGCAGCAGUGGGAAGUAUUGCACAAUGAGCGGAAGCCUGAUGCAGAAACGCCGCGAGCGGGAUGAUGGCCUUCGGGUUGUAAACCGAUUUGGCAUGUGACGAAGAGUGAGUGACGGUAAUGGGUAAAGAAGCACCGGCUAACUACGUG